CGCGAUGUUGUCGCCAGACAACCGUGCAGGUAGGAGUCUCAAGGUCAACACGCUUUCACACGGGAACGCAACCGUUUCGGACGUUGGACGAACGUAUGUUGCCGCAAAAGAUCAAGGCCAACUUGCUUUCAUUUUUUACAAUCUCCGUAUGGGAUGUGGAAUUUCAAAACGCGCCGAGUCUAAAUGUCAAGUUGUUUUGCUUGUUGAGAAUAAUAAUUAAUUGCCCCCUUUAUAUUUGCUCCGUGGGAUUAACGUAAUGGGAAAAAUUUGUUGCAACGCAUGUGGAGGUGUCUUCGUUUGUUAACUUUUAGAAAGUAUUCUCGCACCGUAUAAAUACAUCUCAUUUUUCUCUGUUUUGUCAGUAGUUGUUUUUGGUAUUAUUCGUGCAACGUGGAAGCUAACUUAGUGGUUUGGUGUUCGUACAAAAAAGCAGUCCUAAAGAUCAUCUUAGUACUCUCAACCCGUAACCGCAAAUAGAAUAGCAGCAAUCUUAAGCAUGGACUUAAGUCAACUGAAUCAAACCUGUCUUGCAGAAGGUGAUUUUGAGCAGCCGAUUGUCAAACUGCAUGAAUUGCCGAUAGGCGUUCCGUUUAAAAUUACUAGAGCCAAAAUUGUUAAUACAAAAUUUGGCAAUUCCGUGUUGCUGCAAUUAGAAAAUUCCGUAGUAUUUCUUCCUACUCGCGUGACAGAAGCUUUCCGUCCGAGACUAGAACACUUUGCGUCGGGGCAGUACAAACUGGUCUACGAGGGAUCCAAAGAUAUUGGAAAGCCCAACUCUUUAAAGAAAUUCAAAAUAAUUCAAAAUUAAUCAACAUAUUAUACAGGAUUAUGGUCAAGCAACUUACAUUAGAAAGCCUUUGUAUUAUAACAAUUUGCGAAAAUAUUAGGUGUAGUGCUGAUUUUUUGCUUGAGUCACCUUUGCCUUGGAAACUAACGAUACUAAUAUUUAAAUAUUAUUCGAAAUAUAGAUGGAGGUACCUUAAACAACUAGCGCUCCAGUCUGAUGGCAAUUCUUUAUUAAAUUUAGAAUUCAUUCUGUUGAAUAAGAGAUUUGGAUCGUCUUACAGAAAUAGCAUUUUGGCAACUCCAACCAUUGAUUUUGACGGAGAAUCCGCUUACUGUUUAUGGGUCAGUUAUUACAGGAUAAAAUAUUCGGAAAUUUUAGUUUGUAAAUCUUGUCACUUUAUAUUUCAAGUAGUUAAAAAAUUUAAAAAGAAAAAUUUUAGACUUUUAUUGGAUCACUAUCAUUUACAGCUGGAUAUAAAUAAUUUGAAUGAUGUAUAUCACGAUAAACAAUUUUGGUGUCAAAGCUGCUUUGAAGAAGUUUUGUUCACUGUAGAAACUGAAGAUGAAUGUAAUUUAAUGCUUCACGAUGAGAGGAAAUAUGGAAAAAAGUUACGCUUUUCUGAUAGCACAUUGAACUAUUAAUACUGUGGUUUUAUUAUAACAUAUGUAACUGUAGAUAAGGCUUUUAUGUAUUGAUUGUAUGCCAUUGUAUUGCAACAAGAAUAAACAUGUAUAUAUUUAGACGCUAUUUUCUUUUUUACCACCACCACAACACCGCAUAAUAAUUACACAGAAGUUUGUAAUUGUAUAAUUUAUUUAUUAUAUACAUUAUUACUAUUUUACAAUUUCGUUAAAUGCUAAAUUAUUAAAUUGUUCUAGUUUUCUUUUGCACUCUUGAGCUUGCAUCCGCGCCACUUGCAAGUCUGUAUUAAAAAGCGCAAUUUGUGUUUCAAUUUCGU